AAAAAAAAAAAAAGCUAUUGUAUCAAUUUGUAGUUUUUCCUUCUCUAUUUUUUCAUAAAAUCUGUCAAAAAUGUUAAAAAUAAAAUGUUCUCAAUUCACUCUCUCUCUCUACCAUUGCUGAGAAAACAAUUACAUUUGACCUCCUUUUUCUUUCUCUUCUCUUCCUUUUAUUUUUCUUUAAGUGAAAUAAAAUAGCCACCAGCCAACCAACACUGGCUACACGGUUGGUGAACCACCGGAACAACCCUAAACCACAAGUCACCUAAGGCAUCGGAGAACCAUCAACAAGCGUAGAUGCGACACCAGCAACAGCCAAUAACCACCGUGCCACUGGAGAAAACACAAACUUUACCUGCAAGGUUCUUAAAUAGCUUGUUUCUGAGGUACUAAAAAUGCAAACUAAAAGCCCCACUUGAUUUUCUUCUCAGACUUGUAAUUUUUAAAUUUUAAUUAGUUGAAUAAGAUGUAAAGGUUGAGUUUGUUCAAUUUUAUUUGAAAAAUUGUAGAUUUUCGGUGUAUGUUAUUCACAAAAUGCUUUUUCUAAGGUGCAAUAUUUAAGUGUUUUGUCCACUUUAGAUAACUAUUUUCUUUUCAUAUUUUCCGAGGAGUCUAGAGUGUUUUUUACAUCAAUGUAGGGAUUAUGAGACAUUGUAAAGAUUGUCUAUUUGAUUCCUGGCAAUAUGAAUGUUCAUGGUACUUGAUUUAAUCACCAAAGUUGGUGUUUUUUCCGUUUUGAGAUGAUUAAGUCAAGAGCAUUGAAAUUUCAUACUGUAAAGAACUUAGAUUUUAAUGGUAAAAAGAUUAAAAUGCAUUUGUCUGUCAAGUGCUUCAAUUGCAGCAUUUUACUUUUUAUGUACUUUUUGGUGAAAUUGGAAUCAUUGCGUGUCUGUAGUUUUUAUUCAUGGGGCUGUGUGAUCUCUAUGAUUUCGGCUAGACAGUUCUUACUUUAUCUUGUGGUUGCAGUAUUAUCUCGUGGCUAGUUGUGUUAGUUUAUUUUUCAUUUAGCUUUUGUGUUUGUGAUACUAUUAUCGGUUCUAAGCUGGGGUCUAUCAAAAAUAGCCUCUCUACUUCAUGUGAGGUAGUGGUAGGGUUUGCAUACACUCUUUCCUCCCCAGACCCUACUAUGUAGGAAUAAACUGGGUAUGUUGUUGUUGUUGUUCUCCCAUUACUGACAAACACCUACUACUCACUCUACAUUGCCGACAAAUACUAACUACGAGCUUGUGAAUAAUUAACUCUUAGUUUAUUCCUCAAAUAGUUGAGUGGUCGCUAAUUUUGCCCUAGCAUCAAUAAUAAUUAUACGCAAUUUGUAGAUGCACAAUAUGAGCUUGUGAGGGAUCCGAUGCUCAGCUUUGCCAAUUAUAUUCAUCUUUGUCAAUUGUAAAAGGUUUUCUUCUUAACUAUUCGGUCUUCUUCCUUGGGUUAUUGUAGAUCUCGAAUUUGAGGUAUGCUUUCUAUUCCAAAUAGACAACCCUGUAAACUUUGGAGCUCCAAUUUACUCAAUUUUUAAGUUGUGUUGGAUUCUCUAACUUGUUUAAUCCUUUCCAACAAAAUACAAAUUGUGAAAGAACAUUUAUGAAACAAAGAUGCUGAGAUAAGCCUUUGGGAUGGGCAAUCCUCUUAUUGAAUGUCACAAUACAUUUUAACUUUAUUUUCCAUGCUUUGGUAAAUAUAACAUAUCAACUUUCUAAUAUCAGUAAGGUAUAAAUAAUGUUUAUAUAUGUUAUUUUACACAUAUACCAAAAAUAUCUUUCUUUUUUUCUUGUUUUGCUAUAGUAGACUAGCACCUCUCUUAAACAAAUAGUUUUUUAUGUGGACAGAGCUCUACUCAGACUAUUUGUGCAACCUGCGUUUAUAAAUUUAUGUCACAGAUACCAAUGGUAAACUAAGAAUGAGAGAAAAUCAAGGGGAAGUCUAAGUAAUAUCAUUUGGUAAGUGUAAAGGUAAUGUCUAUUGGCUGGUUCAUCUUGGGAUCUUAUAGCAAGUAAAGUUUUUAUUUUUUGUUUGUAAGAAAGCAGAUCAAUCAUGAAUAUCAACUCGGGAUAAAGGGCUUUCAUGGGAGGUCUCAUUGAAUCUCAUGGCGGAAAGGAAGGGACAGAUAAUGAAAAAUAACCUGACUGAUUUACGAUCUUACAAUAAAGUGUUGAUGGUUUACUUUCCAGCGUCUGUAUAGUUGAAAAAUAGGUAUCAUAUAUCUGGCUCAGCUUUGCUCACAGCUAUGGAUCAAAGCUCUGUAGAUCCACCACUUGAUAUGGCUUCUUCACAUAAAGAUAAUAAAGACCAAGAUGGAAUAUCACAAGUAUAUGCGAAUAGAGAAAAAUUUGUAAAGAGUUCAAAUUAUUUCUCAUAUCCAAGUAGACAACAACACAUUUUCUCAAGUUGAUGAGAGAAUUACAAGAGGCCAUCCUACUGUUGAUAUACCAGAAAUUUUAAGGUGUUGGACGCAUGUCCUACAAUGUGUUCAUAAGUAGUCCCUUCAACUAGUAUGUUGAUUACUCUGACUCAAAAUUCUAUAAGUUCUAUCAAAACUCUCUUUUUUUUCUCCAUAAAUCUCAAGUUUAGCAUAUCACAGAUACAGUUUAUAUAAAUAUUUGGAAUGAUUCUUGUUAUGUGGAUUUAAGUGGUCUAGGUGAAGUAAUUCAUUAGUUAUGCAUGGAUAAUGCUGCUAGAGGGAUACCGUUGGAUGAUUAUUCCUUAGUGAGGUAACAAAUUUUAUUAAUUGUGGAUUGUGGAUUAACUUGUUGGCCAUCAUUGGUUUAGUUCCUUUAUCUUUUGGCCAUUCAGAUGAUAAAAUAGAAUCUAUUUAAUUUGGUUAUUCAGAUGGCUCAGGGCAAUUUAGUGUUAAUUCGAAGUCUCAUUUGUCAUGCAUUUUUGUUUUAACUUUUACUGCCACCUUAAAUUUAAAAUAAUGUCAUAAUUGUUAAGAAGGAAAGCUAUUUCAAUGAUAUGUAAAGUAUUAUACCCCCCAUAUAAAACUGAACUAUUUGUUCCUUUAGAAAGUUCGUUAUAUAUAGUGGAUUCGGGGUGUUAGUGUAUAAGUAUAUGACAUUCCAAUAGAAAUUUCUUAUUCUUAGCUUAAUAUUUUUGUUUUGGUUAAGUUAGUGACUAGUAGUUGUAAUUAAUUAAGAUGUUGGAGCAACAUGAAGAAGUUGAGUUGGGUGAAAUGGAGUUGGAAAUUAGUAGUAGUAAGGUUAAUCCUAUGAUAAGUUCACCUGAUUCAACUUGUUGGCAAAUUAAGCAGGCAUGGGAGCCUGAUAUGCUCUUUUUUGAUUGCGUUUUUUACUUCCUGCUUCUCAUAUGGAGGACUUUACUCUUUGGAGUCACUCUUGUAGUCCUACUACUACUACUACUUAUCAUCAUCAUGAUCAUCAAGAAUCUGGUUAGUAGCUUUCUUUUAACACUUUAAAUUUGAUCCAUAUAUAGUCUGUCAUUUCGGACCCUGCAUAUAGUAAAAGCUUUAGUAUAGUCUUUCAUUUUUGAACUUGGCUGUUUGUUGACAAUUUCUGGACAAGUGGAGUUACUAGUCCCUGUGGUCCAUGCUCUGAACUUUAUUAUGAUUUCCAUCCUGAGAGGGGCACUUCCAAUGUUGUAAGUAUGACAUGUUUAAAAUGCACUUUUUCCCUUUUAUUUUCAUUUCAUGUUCAGGUGAGGUGGUUACACAAUAUCCUUUCUUUUUGUUUUUCCUUCUGUUUUGCAUUUUUAUUUGCUACUAUUCAUUUUGUCUAACCUUGCGGUCUAAAUAUUAGGUUCUUAGAGAUGAUAUGAGAUUUAUAGAAUUCUACAACCUUGUUUUUAUGCAAUACAAUAAGAAGGAUGAUGGUUUUCUUGAGCUUUUAAAGCAAAAGAAUAUAGAUACUGCACUUGGUUUAAAGUGUGUGGCCAGGAUUUUGCAGAAGGUAAUCGUGAGACAACAACAUUUCUGAAUGACUAUAGAAUAAAUUAGGUAUCGGAUCUCUCUUUUCUUUUGCUACUGAAUUUUAUGGAAAAGAAAGCCUCCCAUAAUUUUGGAUUAAUGAUAAUUUUGCCUCAUAUACUAUUUUCAAGGUAUCAGAAUCUAGUCAAAAAAUUUUUGGUCUAAUACGUUUAUUUAUUCUUAUGUUGUGCUUCAUUUUAGGUUCACCAUACAGCUUCUCAUUUACUUCAAUCAACAUUGAAAAGAGUAAUAGGUCAGGAAACAUCCCAAGCAGGAUCAAUGGUUGCUUUUGAUCAUCUUAGAUUUGACUUCAACUUCUGUCGACCUGUUCUAGACAAGAAACUCACAGAAAUUGAAGGUUUGAUCAACCAAUGGAUCGGUGAUGUCAUAAUUCUAGAAAUAAAAGUCAUGUCUUUGACUGAUGCAAAAGGAGUUGGGGCAAUUGCAAUGUUUAGAGAAAAAUAUGGAGAAUAGGUGGGGACAAUUACCAUUUUAUGUUAAAAAUGUGAUGAUUAUAAAACAAGGGAGAUUCUUCUGGCUGUUGUCUUUUUGCAAAUUUUUGCUAUUAAAGCUUAUAUGGAGCGACCAACAGUCCUCUUUUAUGAGUAGGUGAGAAAUAGAGAUUAGACUAUACACCAGUCCAUUCUAAUAAUUAAGUCUGAUAGUGAGAUUUUAACCAUGUAUGAAAGUGCAACUUGAAUUAUGAUAUUAUUAAUGAAUAAUUUUGUUUUG